rnacentral:rRNA from 1 species
CCCUUAGAUGUCCGGGGCUGCACGCGCGCUACACUGAAGGAAUCAGCGUGCUAGAAAACCUUGUUUGACAUGGCUAGGUAACCCGUUGAAAAUCUUUCGUGAUUGGGAUCGGGGCUUGCAAAUGUGUCCCUUGAACGAGGAAUUCCCAGUAAGUGCGGGUCAUAAGCUCGCGCUGAUUACGUCCCUGCCCUUUGUACACACCGCCCGUCGCUGCCCGGAACUGAGCCGUUUCGAGAAGACUGGGGACUGCGAACUUUGGGCUGGAAAACAGCUUUUUGUUUGUGGAAACCACUUUAAUCGCAGCGGCUUGAACCGGGCAAAAGUCGUAACA